AUUGAACGCUGGCGGCAGGCCUAACACAUGCAAGUCGAGCGGAAGAAGGGAGCUUGCUCCUGGAUUCAGCGGCGGACGGGUGAGUAAUGCCUAGGAAUCUGCCUGGUAGUGGGGGAUAACGUCCGGAAACGGGCGCUAAUACCGCAUACGUCCUGAGGGAGAAAGUGGGGGAUCUUCGGACCUCACGCUAUCAGAUGAGCCUAGGUCGGAUUAGCUAGUUGGUGGGGUAAAGGCCUACCAAGGCGACGAUCCGUAACUGGUCUGAGAGGAUGAUCAGUCACACUGGAACUGAGACACGGUCCAGACUCCUACGGGAGGCAGCAGUGGGGAAUAUUGGACAAUGGGCGAAAGCCUGAUCCAGCCAUGCCGCGUGUGUGAAGAAGGUCUUCGGAUUGUAAAGCACUUUAAGUUGUGAGGAAGGGCAGUAAGUUAAUACCUUGCUGUUUUGACGUUACCAACAGAAUAAGCACCGGCUAACUUCGUG
rnacentral:rRNA from 1 species